rnacentral:rRNA from 1 species
UACGGGGGGGGCAAGCGUUGUUCGGAAUUACUGGGCGUAAAGGGCUCGUAGGCGGCCAACUAAGUCAGACGUGAAAUCCCUCGGCUUAACCGGGGAACGGCCUCUGAUACUGGAUGGCUUGAGUUCGGGAGAGGGAUGCGGAAUUCCAGGUGUAGCGGUGAAAUGCGUAGAUAUCUGGAGGAACACCGGUGGCGAAGGCGGCAUCCUGGACCGACACUGACGCUGAGGAGCGAAAGCGUGGGGAGCGAACAGG